rnacentral:rRNA from 1 species
GUGGGGAAUUUUGGACAAUGGGCGCAAGCCUGAUCCAGCAAUGCCGCGUGCAGGAAGAAGGCCUUCGGGUUGUAAACUGCUUUUGUACGGAACGAAACGGUCCUGGUUAAUACCUGGGGCUAAUGCCGGUACCGUAAGAAUAAGCACCGGCUAACUACGUGCCAGCAGCCGCGGUAAUACGUAGGGUGCAAGCGUUAAUCGGAAUUACUGGGCGUAAAGCGUGCGCAGGCGGUUUUGUAAGACAGGCGUGAAAUCCCCGGGCUCAACCUGAGAAUUGCGCUUGUGACUGCCAGGCUGGAGUGCGGCAGAGGGGGAUGGAAUUCCGCGUGUAGCAGUGAAAUGCGUAGAUAUGCGGAGGAACACCGAUGGCGAAGGCAAUCCCCUGGGCCUGCACUGACGCUCAUGCACGAAAGCGUGGGGAGCAAACAGGAUUAGAUACCCGGGUAGUCC